rnacentral:rRNA from 1 species
GCAGCAGUAGGGAAUCUUCCACUUAAGUGGGGGAUAACAUUUGGAAACAGAUGCUAAUACCGCAUAAAUCCAAGAACCGCAUGGUUCUUGGCUGAAAGAUGGCGUAAGCUAUCGCUUUUGGAUGGACCCGCGGCGUAUUAGCUAGUUGGUGAGGUAACGGCUCACCAAGGCAAUGAUACGUAGCCGAACUGAGAGGUUGAUCGGCCACAUUGGGACUGAGACACGGCCCAAACUCCUACGGGAGGCAGCAGUAGGGAAUCUUCCACAAUGGACGCAAGUCUGAUGGAGCAACGCCGCGUGAGUGAAGAAGGCUUUCGGGUCGUAAAACUCUGUUGUUGGAGAAGAAUGGUCGGCAGAGUAACUGUUGUCGGCGUGACGGUAUCCAACCAGAAAGCCACGGCUAACUACGUGCCAGCAGCCGCGGUAAUACGUAGGUGGCAAGCGUUAUCCGGAUUUAUUGGGCGUAAAGCGAGCGCAGGCGGCUUUUUAAGUCUGAUGUGAAAGCCCUCGGCUUAACCGAGGAAGUGCAUCGGAAACUGGGAAACUUGAGUGCAGAA